AUGGACCAAGUGGCUGAUCUAGAGGGGAUUAUCUUGUCUAAAGAUGCAAGUAAGAAGACAAAGGUGUCCCAUGAUGAGAGAGGAGAUACCUGGAACAAAAGAAGUAUAUUUUGUAAUUUGCCAUAUUUCAAAACUCUUUUGUUGCGCCAUAACCUUGAUGUCAUGCAUAUAGAAAACAAUAUAUGUGAUAGCAUCAUGGCAACAAUUAUGGAUGUCAAAGGGAAAACAAAUGAUAACAUAAAUUCUCGGCGCGAUUUGCAACUAAUGAAAAUAAGGCCAGGUAUGCAUCCGGAUAAGGAAGGGGACAAGCCUACUUUUCCAUCUGCGCCUUUCACUUUGCUUCCACCCAAUAAGAUUUUGUUCCUUCGGUUUUUUAAGGACCUCGAAGUUCCAGAUGGAUUUUGUUCAAACCUUGGCCGCUGCACUAAAAUGAAAGAGAAAAAAAAUUCAGGACUGAAGAGCCACGACUGCCAUGUUAUACUAAAUCAUUUACUCCCUCUUGCACUGCGUGGACUUGUUCCCCAGAAUAUUUAUGACCCUCUAGUUGAGCUUUCACAGUUCUUUUGCAAAUUAAACUCCAAAUCACUUUCAGUAGAAGAACUUAAUGAAAUGCAGGCCCACAUACCUGUGACACUAUCUAAGCUUGAAAAGGAAUUCCCACCGUCCUUUUUUGAUGUCAUGAUGCAUCUGCCUGUUCAUUUGGCUAAUGAGGCUCUUGUUGGUGGACCUACAAUAUAUCGGUGGAUGUGUCUCUUUGAGAGACAAAUAAAGUGUCUGAAAUCGCUAGUGCGAAAUUUGGCACGACCCGAGGCUUCCAUUGCAGAGGGAUACAUUGCAGAAGAGUUCAUUACAUUGUGCUCUAGGUAUUUGGAUGAUGUCGAAACAAAGCAUAAUCGACCAGGCAGAAUCAAUGAUGCACCAGGGGAUGACAACUAUUAUUUGUCAAUAUUCAAUCCGGAUGGAAGGCCAUCCGGUGGUCGUAAACCUAGAGAUCUUAAUCUUCUUGAAUUAGAGCAAGCUCAUAUUUAUGUUUUGAGAAAUUGUGAUGUAGUUCAACCAUAUAUCAGUGAGUACUCCAGUAGUCAAGAUGGAUGUUCACUACAACCAUUUACCACCAUGUGGAACCAGAAGUUCAAUCAGUGGUUCAAAGAGAAGGUAGCCAGCUUGCACGAACAUGAUAAGAGUGAGCUCACCAAAGACCUUUUGGCACUAUCACGUGGUCCAUUAGAAAAUGUAACAUGUUUUACUGGCUAUGACAUGAAGGGAUUCAGAUAUCGUGUUCAAAGUCGAGAUUGA
rnacentral:rRNA from 1 species